UACGUAGGGGGCAAGCGUUAUCCGGAUUUACUGGGUGUAAAGGGAGCGCAGACGGAACUGCAAGUCUGAUGUGAAAGCCCGGGGCUCAACCGCGGGACUGCAUUGGAAACUGUAGAUCUGGAGUGCCGGAGGGGCAAGCGGAAUUCCUGGUGUAGCGGUGAAAUGCGUAGAUAUCAGGAGGAACACCGGCGGCGAAGUCGGCUUGCUGGACGGCAACUGACGUUGAGGCUCGAAAGCGUGAGGAGCAAACAGGAUUAGAUACCCUGGUA
rnacentral:rRNA from 1 species